rnacentral:rRNA from 1 species
ACAGAGGGUGCAAGCGUUAAUCGGAGUUACUGGGCGUAAAGAGCUCGUAGGCGGUUUGUCGCGUCUGCCGUGAAAGUCCGGGGCUCAACUCCGGAUCUGCGGUGGGUACGGGCAGACUAGAGUGAUGUAGGGGAGACUGGAAUUCCUGGUGUAGCGGUGAAAUGCGCAGAUAUCAGGAGGAACACCGAUGGCGAAGGCAGGUCUCUGGGCAUUAACCGACGCUGAGGAGCGAAAGCAUGGGGAGCGAACAGGA